rnacentral:rRNA from 3 species
CCACCACCAAAGCAUUUGCUGUACCGCGUUGACGGAGCGAAGCGACGUCAAACCGAUAAAACAGCAGUGUAAAGUGAGCCGCAGGGCGCUUUGCGCGACAGCGCAAAGGCAGGCGGUUUCGCGUAGCGAAAGCGAAUGCUUUGGGGUGGGGUGACUGCGUACCUUUUGUAUAAUGGGUCAGCGACUUAUAUUCUGUAGCAAGGUUAACCGAAUAGGGGAGCCGGAGGGAAACCGAGUCUUAAUUGGGCGUUAAGUUGCAGGGUAUAGACCCGAAACCCGGUGAUCUAGCCAUGGGCAGGUUGAAGGUUGGGUAACACUAACUGGAGGACCGAACCGACUAAUGUUGAAAAAUUAGCGGAUGACCUGUGGCUGGGGGUGAAAGGCCAAUCAAACCGGGAGAUAGCUGGUUCUCCCCGAAAGCUAUUUAGGUAGCGCCUCGUGAAUUCAUCUCCGGGGGUAGAGCACUGUUUCGGCUAGGGGGCCAUCCCGGCUUACCAACCCGAUGCAAACUGCGAAUACCGGAGAAUGUUAUCACGGGAGACACACGGCGGGUGCUAACGUCCGUCGUGAAGAGGGAAACAACCCAGACCGCCAGCUAAGGUCCCAAAGUCAUGGUUAAGUGGGAAACGAUGUGGGAAGGCCCAGACAGCCAGGAUGUUGGCUUAGAAGCAGCCAUCAUUUAAAGAAAGCGUAAUAGCUCACUGGUCGAGUCGGCCUGCGCGGAAGAUGUAACGGGGCUAAACCAUGCACCGAAGCUGCGGCAGCGACACUGUGUGUUGUUGGGUA